rnacentral:rRNA from 1 species
CCCCACYSUUUCGAGGUGGGACUAAGCCAUGCCAGUCGAACGACCCGGACUAUGGCGGGGAGUGGCAGACUGCUCAGUAACACGUAGCUAACCUACCCUCGGGACGGGGAUAACCCCGGGAAACUGGGGCUAAUACCCGAUAGGUGUGGAUUCCUGGAAUGGUGCCAUGCCUAAACGUAAGCACAUCCAUGUUUGUGUGCACGCCCGAGGAUGGGGCUGCGGCCGAUCAGGCAGUUGGUGAGGUAACGGCUCACCAAACCUUUGACCGGUACGGGCCAUGAGAGUGGUAGCCCGGAGAUGGGCACUGAGACAAGGGCCCAGGCCCUACGGGGCGCAGCAGGCGCGAAACCUCCACAAUUCACGCAAGUGAGAUGGGGUUACCUCGAGUGCCAUCUGAAGAAGGUGGCUUUUCCAUGGUGUAAUGAGCCGUGGGAAUAAGGGGGGGGCAAGACUGGUGUCAGCCGCCGCGGUAACACCAGCCCCCCGAGUGGUGGGGAUGAUUAUUUGGCCUAAAGCGUCCGUAGCCAGCUCGGUAAAUCUCUCGUUAAAUCCAGCGUCCUAAGCGUUGGGCUGCGAGGGAAACUGCCGAACUAGAGGGUGGGAGAGGUCAGCGGUAUUCCUGGGGUAGGGGCGAAAUCCAUUGAUCCCAGGAGGACCACCAGUGGCGAAGGCUGCUGACUAGAACACGCCUGACGGUGAGGGACGAAAGCUGGGGUAGCGAAUCGGAUUAGAUACCCGAGUAGUCCCAGCCGUAAACGAUGCGGGCUAGGUGUUGGGUCGGCCAUGCGCCGCCUCAGUGCCACAGGGAAGCCAUUAAGCCUAGCCGCCUGGGGAGUACGGCCGCAAGGCUGAAACUUAAAGGAAUUGGCGGGGGAGCACCAACCASGCGUGAAGCCUGCGGUUU